rnacentral:miRNA from 1 species
CGCUGCCAGCGGAGAACGAGUU